rnacentral:rRNA from 1 species
GAAACGACUGCUAAGACUGGAUAGGAGACAAGAAGGCAUCUUCUUGUUUUUAAAAGACCUAGCAAUAGGUAUGCUUAGGGAGGAGCUUGCGUCACAUUAGUUAGUUGGUGGGGUAAAGGCCUACCAAGACUAUGAUGUGUAGCCGGGCUGAGAGGUUGAACGGCCACAUUGGGACUGAGACACGGCCCAAACUCCUACGGGAGGCAGCAGUAGGGAAUUUUCGGCAAUGGAGGAAACUCUGACCGAGCAACGCCGCGUGAACGAUGAAGUAUUUCGGUACGUAAAGUUCUUUUAUUAGGGAAGAAUAAAUGAUGGAAAAAUCAUUCUGACGGUACCUAAUGAAUAAGCCCCGGCUAACUAUGUGCCAGCAGCCGCGGUAAUACAUAGGGGGCAAGCGUUAUCCGGAAUUAUUGGGCGUAAAGGGUGCGUAGGCGGUUAAAUAAGUUUAUGGUCUAAGUGCAAUGCUCAACAUUGUGAUGCCAUAAAAACUGUUUAGCUAGAGUAAGAUAGAGGCAAGUGGAAUUCCAUGUGUAGUGGUAAAAUGCGUAAAUAUAUGGAGGAACACCAGUAGCGAAGGCGGCUUGCUGGGUCUUUACUGACGCUGAGGCGCGAAAGCGUGGGGAGCAAACAGGAUUAGAUACCCUGGUAGUCCACGCCGUAAACGAUGAGUACUAAACGUUGGGUAAAACCAGUGUUGAAGUUAACACAUUAAGUACUCCGCCUGAGUAGUACGUACGCAAGUAUGAAACUUAAAGGAAUUGACGGGACUCCGCACAAGCGGUGGAUCAUGUUGUUUAAUUCGAAGGUACCCGAAAAACCUCACCAGGUCUUGACAUGCUUCUGCAAAGCUGUAGAAACACAGUGGAGGUUAUCAGUUGCACAGGUGGUGCAUGGUUGUCGUCAGCUCGUGUCGUGAGAUGUUGGGUUAAGUCCCGCAACGAGCGCAACCCUUAUUGUUAGUUACCAGCACGUAAUGGUGGGGACUUUAGCAAGACUGCCAGUGAUAAAUUGGAGGAAGGUGGGGACGACGUCAAAUCAUCAUGCCCCUUAUGACCUGGGCUACAAACGUGAUACAAUGGCUGUUACAAAGGGUAGCUGAAGCGCAAGUUUUUGGCGAGUCUCAAAAAAACAGUCUCAGUUCGGAUUGAAGUCUGCAACUCGACUUCAUGAAGUUGGAAUCGCUAGUAAUCGCGAAUCAGCAUGUCGCGGCGAAUACGUUCACGGGGUUUGUACACACCGCCCGUCA